GAUGAACGCUGGCGGCGUGCCUAAUACAUGCAAGUCGAGCGAACAGACGAGGAGCUUGCUCCUUCGAGGUUAGCGGCGGACGGGUGAGUAACACGUAGGUAACCUACCUAUAAGCCUGGGAUAAUUCGGGAAACCGGAGCUAAUACCGGAUAAUAUUUCGAACUGCAUGGUUAGAUAGUGAAAGAUGGCUUUGCUAUCACUUAUAGAUGGACCUGCGCCGUAUUAGCUAGUUGGUAAGGUAACGGCUUACCAAGGCAACGAUACGUAGCCGACCUGAGAGGGUGAUCGGCCACACUGGAACUGAGACACGGUCCAGACUCCUACGGGAGGCAGCAGUAGGGAAUCUUCCGCAAUGGGCGAAAGCCUGACGGAGCAACGCCGCGUGAGUGAUGAAGGUCUUCGGAUCUUAAAACUCUGUUAUUAGGGAAGAACAAACGUGUAAGUAACUGCGCACGUCUUGACGGUACCUAAUCAGAAAGCCACGGCUAACUACGUG
rnacentral:rRNA from 1 species